GCCCACGUAGCUCAGUUGGCAGAGCGAUACUCCCGUAAAGUAUAGGCCGUCGGUUCGAUCCCGACCGUGGGCU
rnacentral:tRNA from 1 species